GCAGCCGCGGUAAUACGUAGGUGGCAAGCGUUAUCCGGAUUUACUGGGUGUAAAGGGCGUGUAGGCGGGAUUGUAAGUCAGAUGUGAAAUUUACGGGCUCAACUCGUAACCUGCAUUUGAAACUGCAAUUCUUGAGUGUUGGAGAGGCAAGCGGAAUUCCCGGUGUAGCGGUGAAAUGCGUAGAUAUCGGGAGGAACAUCGGUGGCGAAGGCGGCUUGCUGGACAAUAACUGACGCUGAGGCGCGAAAGCGUGGGGAGCAAACAGGAUUAGAUACCCC
rnacentral:rRNA from 1 species